GGUGGAGGGGUGUUGGAUAGGGUAAGGUAUAGUGGUGGAGGGGUGUUGGAUAGGUAAGGUGUAGUGGUGGAGGGGUGUUGGAUAGGGUAAGGUAUAGUGGUGGAGGGGUGUUGGAUAGAUAAGGUAUAGUGGUGGAGGGGUGUUGGAUAGGGUAAGGUAUAGUGGUGGAGGGGUGUUGGAUAGGGUAAGGUAUAGUGGUGGAGGGGUGCUGGAUAGGGUAAGGUAUAGUGGUGGAGGGGUGUUGGAUAGGGUAAGGUAUAGUGGUGGAGGGGUGUUGGAUAGAUAAGGUGUAGUGGUGGAGGGGUGUUGGAUAGGUUAAGGUAUAGUGGUGGAGGGGUGUUGGAUAGGUAAGGUAUAGUGGUGGAGGGGUGUUGGAUAGGUAAGGUGUAGUGGUGGAGGGGUGUUGGAUAGGUAAUGUGUAGUGGUGGAGGGGUGUUGGAUAGGUAAUGUGUAGUGGUGGAGGGGUGUUGGAUAGGUAAUGUGUAGUGGUGGAGGGGUGUU